UUAAGUUAUUAAGGGCGCACGGUGGAUGCCUUGGCACUAGAAGCCGAUGAAGGACGUUACUAACGACGAUAUGCUUUGGGGAGCUGUAAGUAAGCUUUGAUCCAGAGAUUUCCGAAUGGGGAAACCCAGCAUGAGUUAUGUCAUGUUAUCGAUAUGUGAAUACAUAGCAUAUCAGAAGGCACACCCGGAGAACUGAAACAUCUUAGUACCCGGAGGAAGAGAAAGAAAAUUCGAUUCCCUUAGUAGCGGCGAGCGAAACGGGAAGAGCCCAAACCAACAAGCUUGCUUGUUGGGGUUGUAGGACACUCUAUACGGAGUUACAAAGGACGACAUUAGACGAAUCAUCUGGAAAGAUGAAUCAAAGAAGGUAAUAAUCCUGUAGUCGAAAAUGUUGUCUCUCUUGAGUGGAUCCUGAGUACGACGGAGCACGUGAAAUUCCGUCGGAAUCUGGGAGGACCAUCUCCUAAGGCUAAAUACUCUCUAGUGACCGAUAGUGAACCAGUACCGUGAGGGAAAGGUGAAAAGCACCCCGGAAGGGGAGUGAAAUAGAACCUGAAACCGUGUGCUUACAAGUAGUCAGAGCCCGUUAAUGGGUGAUGGCGUGCCUUUUGUAGAAUGAACCGGCGAGUUACGAUUUGAUGCAAGGUUAAGCAGUAAAUGUGGAGCCGUAGCGAAAGCGAGUCUGAAUAGGGCGUUUAGUAUUUGGUCGUAGACCCGAAACCAGGUGAUCUACCCUUGGUCAGGUUGAAGUUCAGGUAACACUGAAUGGAGGACCGAACCGACUUACGUUGAAAAGUGAGCGGAUGAACUGAGGGUAGCGGAGAAAUUCCAAUCGAACCUGGAGAUAGCUGGUUCUCUCCGAAAUAGCUUUAGGGCUAGCCUCAAGUGAUGAUUAUUGGAGGUAGAGCACUGUUUGGACGAGGGGCCCCUCUCGGGUUACCGAAUUCAGACAAACUCCGAAUGCCAAUUAAUUUAACUUGGGAGUCAGAACAUGGGUGAUAAGGUCCGUGUUCGAAAGGGAAACAGCCCAGACCACCAGCUAAGGUCCCAAAAUAUAUGUUAAGUGGAAAAGGAUGUGGCGUUGCCCAGACAACUAGGAUGUUGGCUUAGAAGCAGCCAUCAUUUAAAGAGUGCGUAAUAGCUCACUAGUCGAGUGACACUGCGCCGAAAAUGUACCGGGGCUAAACAUAUUACCGAAGCUGUGGAUUGUCCUUUGGACAAUGGUAGGAGAGCGUUCUAAGGGCGUUGAAGCAUGAUCGUAAGGACAUGUGGAGCGCUUAGAAGUGAGAAUGCCGGUGUGAGUAGCGAAAGACGGGUGAGAAUCCCGUCCACCGAUUGACUAAGGUUUCCAGAGGAAGGCUCGUCCGCUCUGGGUUAGUCGGGUCCUAAGCUGAGGCCGACAGGCGUAGGCGAUGGAUAACAGGUUGAUAUUCCUGUACCACCUAUAAUCGUUUUAAUCGAUGGGGGGACGCAGUAGGAUAGGCGAAGCGUGCGAUUGGAUUGCACGUCUAAGCAGUAAGGCUGAGUAUUAGGCAAAUCCGGUACUCGUUAAGGCUGAGCUGUGAUGGGGAGAAGACAUUGAGUCUUCGAGUCGUUGAUUUCACACUGCCGAGAAAAGCCUCUAGAUAGAAAAUAGGUGCCCGUACCGCAAACCGACACAGGUAGUCAAGAUGAGAAUUCUAAGGUGAGCGAGCGAACUCUCGUUAAGGAACUCGGCAAAAUGACCCCGUAACUUCGGGAGAAGGGGUGCUCUUUAGGGUUAACGCCCAGAAGAGCCGCAGUGAAUAGGCCCAAGCGACUGUUUAUCAAAAACACAGGUCUCUGCUAAACCGUAAGGUGAUGUAUAGGGGCUGACGCCUGCCCGGUGCUGGAAGGUUAAGAGGAGUGGUUAGCUUCUGCGAAGCUACGAAUCGAAGCCCCAGUAAACGGCGGCCGUAACUAUAACGGUCCUAAGGUAGCGAAAUUCCUUGUCGGGUAAGUUCCGACCCGCACGAAAGGCGUAACGAUUUGGGCACUGUCUCAACGAGAGACUCGGUGAAAUCAUAGUACCUGUGAAGAUGCAGGUUACCCGCGACAGGACGGAAAGACCCCGUGGAGCUUUACUGUAGCCUGAUAUUGAAAUUCGGCACAGCUUGUACAGGAUAGGUAGGAGCCUUUGAAACGUGAGCGCUAGCUUACGUGGAGGCGCUGGUGGGAUACUACCCUAGCUGUGUUGGCUUUCUAACCCGCACCACUUAUCGUGGUGGGAGACAGUGUCAGGCGGGCAGUUUGACUGGGGCGGUCGCCUCCUAAAAGGUAACGGAGGCGCUCAAAGGUUCCCUCAGAAUGGUUGGAAAUCAUUCAUAGAGUGUAAAGGCAUAAGGGAGCUUGACUGCGAGACCUACAAGUCGAGCAGGGUCGAAAGACGGACUUAGUGAUCCGGUGGUUCCGCAUGGAAGGGCCAUCGCUCGACGGAUAAAAGCUACCCCGGGGAUAACAGGCUUAUCUCCCCCAAGAGUUCACAUCGACGGGGAGGUUUGGCACCUCGAUGUCGGCUCAUCGCAUC
rnacentral:rRNA from 1 species